rnacentral:SRP_RNA from 1 species
GCCGGGUGUGGUGGCACACGCCUGUAAUCUCAGCUACUCGGGAGGCUGAGGCAGGAGAGUUGUUAAACCCGGGAGGUGGAGGUUGCAGGAGCUGAGAUCGUGCCAUUGAACUCCAGCCUGGGCGACAGAGCAAGACUCCAUUAAAAAAAAAAAAAAAAAAAAAUUGACUGCACCCACACAUUCAUUGUCUAAUCUUGACCUAAAUUGUUUUUGUUUGUUUGUUUUGAGACGGAGUCUUGCUUUGUCACCCAGGCUGGAGUGCAGUGGCGCGAUCUCAGCUCACUGCAAGCUCCGCCUCCCGGGUUCACGCCAUUCUCCUGCCUCAG